rnacentral:rRNA from 1 species
GAACCGUACCGCAAACCGACACAGGUGGGCAGGAUGAGAAUUCUAAGGCGCUUGAGAGAACUCAGGAGAAGGAACUCGGCAAAUUGAUACCGUAACUUCGGGAGAAGGUAUGCCCUCUAAGGUUAAGGACUUGCUCCGUAAGCCCCGGAGGGUCGCAGAGAAUAGGUGGCUGCGACUGUUUAUUAAAAACACAGCACUCUGCUAACACGAAAGUGGACGUAUAGGGUGUGACGCCUGCCCGGUGCUGGAAGGUUAAUUGAAGAUGUGAGAGCAUCGGAUCGAAGCCCCAGUAAACGGCGGCCGUAACUAUAACGGUCCUAAGGUAGCGAAAUUCCUUGUCGGGUAAGUUCCGACCCGCACGAAUGGCGUAACGAUGGCCACACUGUCUCCUCCUGAGACUCAGCGAAGUUGAAGUGGUUGUGAAGAUGCAAUCUACCCGCUGCUAGACGGAAAGACCCCGUGAACCUUUACUGUAGCUUUGCAUUGGACUUUGAAGUCACUUGUGUAGGAUAGGUGGGAGGCUUAGAAGCAGAGACGCCAGUCUCUGCGGAGCCGUCCUUGAAAUACCACCCUGGUGUCUUUGAGGUUCUAACCCAGACCCGUCAUCCGGGUCGGGGACCGUGCAUGGUAGGCAGUUUGACUGGGGCGGUCUCCUCCCAAAGCGUAACGGAGGAGUUCGAAGGUUACCUAGGUCCGGUCGGAAAUCGGACUGAUAGUGCAAUGGCAAAAGGUAGCUUAACUGCGAGACCGACAAGUCGAGCAGGUGCGAAAGCAGGACAUAGUGAUCCGGUGGUUCUGUAUGGAAGGGCCAUCGCUCAACGGAUAAAAGGUACUCCGGGGAUAACAGGCUGAUUCCGCCCAAGAGUUCAUAUCGACGGCGGAGUUUGGCACCUCGAUGUCGGCUCAUCACAUCCUGGGGCUGUAGUCGGUCCCAAGGGUAUGGCUGUUCGCCAUUUAAAGUGGUACGUGAGCUGGGUUUAAAACGUCGUGAGACAGUUUGGUCCCUAUCUGCAGUGGGCGUUGGAAGUUUGACGGGGGCUGCUCCUAGUACGAGAGGACCGGAGUGGACGAACCUCUGGUGUACCGGUUGUAACGCCAGUUGCAUAGCCGGGUAGCUAAGUUCGGAAGAGAUAAGCGCUGAAAGCAUCUAAGCGCGAAACUCGCCUGAAGAUGAGACUUCCCUUGCGGUUUAACCGCACUAAAGAGUCGUUCGAGACCAGGACGUUGAUAGG